rnacentral:rRNA from 1 species
CCUACGGGAGGCAGCAGUGAGGAAUAUUGGUCAAUGGACGAGAGUCUGAACCAGCCAAGUCGCGUGAAGGAUGACUGCCCUCGGGGUUGUAAACUUCUUUUAUAUGGGAAUAAAAUGUUCCACGUGUGGGAUUUUGUAUGUACCAUAUGAGUAAGGGUCGGCGAGCUCCGUGCCAGCAGCCGCGGUAAUACGGAGGAUCCGAGCGUUAUCCGGAUUUAUUGGGUGUAAAGGGAGCGUAGGUGGAUUGUUAAGGCAGUUGUGAAAGUUUGCGGCUCAACCGUAAAAUUGCAGUUGAAACUGGCAGUCUUGAGUGCAGGAGAGGUGGGCGGAAUUCGUGGUGUAGCGGUGAAAUGCUUAGAUAGCACGAAGAACACCGAUGGCGAAGGCAGUUCACUGGACUGCAACUGACGCUGAGGCUCGAAAGUGUGGGUAGCAAACAGGAUUAGAUACCCGUGUAGUC